rnacentral:rRNA from 1 species
AGCGGAGGAAAAGAAACUAACAAGGAUUCCCCUAGUAACGGCGAGUGAAGCGGGAAGAGCUCAAAUUUGUAAUCUGGCCCUUUCAGGGUCCGAGUUGUAAUCUCGAGAAGUGUUUUCCGCGCCGGACUGCAUACAAGUCUGUUGGAAUACAGCGUCAUAGUGGUGAGAGCCCCGUAACUGAUGCAGAUGCCCGGUGCUUUGUGAUACACUUUCGAAGAGUCGAGUUGUUUGGGAAUGCAGCUCAAAUUGGGUGGUAAAUUCCAUCUAAAGCUAAAUAUUGGCGAGAGACCGAUAGCGAACAAGUACCGUGAGGGAAAGAUGAAAAGCACUUUGGAAAGAGAGUUAACAGUACGUGAAAUUGUUGGAAGGGAAACGCUUGAAGUCAGACUUGCUAUUCGGAAUUCAGCCGCAAGGUGUACUUUUCGAUUUGCAGGCCAGCAUCAGUUUUUGGGGGUGGAAAAGGGUGGAGAGAAGGUAGCAACCUCGGUUGUGUUAUAGCUCUUUACUGGAUUCAUCUUUGGGGACUGAGGAUCGCAGUGCGCAAUUCAUUUUGCAAACCUUUCGAGGUUUUCGUACUUAGGAUGCUGGUGGAAUGGCUUUAAACGACCCGUCUUG